AUUAAAGGUGCCAUGUCUGAUUUUUUUCGUAUUGCAGGUGGCUUGCUGCUGAUGGGAACCACCAGGUUUGUGGUUGCUGUGACUCCACAUGUGGUCCUGAUGGUGGAACUGCUGCUUCUCCUUUUGGAGGCCUUCAGUGGGAAGGGAAGGCCUCGCUCGGUCCUGUAGUGGUUCAAGAGCACAAGAAGACUUUGGCUGGUCUUCAAUAAAUGUGGGGGAGCAAACUUA